UACGUAGGGGGCGAGCGUUGUCCGGAGUUACUGGGCGUAAAGCGCACGCAGGCGGUCGCGUAAGAGUGCGGGGACAGUGGGCGGCUUAACUGCCCAAGGGUCGCACAGACUGCGUGACUGGAGGGCCAGAGAGGGACCUGGAAUUCCGGGUGGAGCGGUGAAAUGCGUAGAGAUCCGGAGGAACACCAAUGGCGAAGGCAGGGUCCUGGCUGGCACCUGACGCUGAGGAGCGAAAGCGUGGGGAGCGAACAGG
rnacentral:rRNA from 1 species